AGUGAACGCUGGCGGUAGGCCUAACACAUGCAAGUCGAACGGCAGCACAGUAAGAGCUUGCUCUUACGGGUGGCGAGUGGCGGACGGGUGAGGAAUACAUCGGAAUCUACUUUUUCGUGGGGGAUAACGUAGGGAAACUUACGCUAAUACCGCAUACGACCUACGGGUGAAAGCAGGGGAUCUUCGGACCUUGCGCGAUUGAAUGAGCCGAUGUCGGAUUAGCUAGUUGGCGGGGUAAAGGCCCACCAAGGCGACGAUCCGUAGCUGGUCUGAGAGGAUGAUCAGCCACACUGGAACUGAGACACGGGCCAGACUCCUACGGGAGGCAGCAGUGGGGAAUAUUGGACAAAGGGCGCAAGCCUGAUCCAGCCAUACCGCGUGGGUGAAGAAGGCCUUCGGGUUGUAAAGCCCUUUUGUUGGGAAAGAAAAGCAGCAGGUUAAUACCCCGCUGUUCUGACGGGACCCAAAGAAUAAGCACCGGCUAACUUCGUG
rnacentral:rRNA from 1 species